CUGGUUGAUCCUGCCAGUAGCAUAUGCUUGUCUCUGAGACUAAGCCAUGCAUGUCUAAGUAUAAACAAAUCUGUACUGUGAAACUGCGGACGGCUCAUUAAAUCAGUUACAAUCUACUUGAUCGUAUAUUCAUAGAAUUAAUCGGGUAACCCUAGUAAUUCUAGAGCUAAUACGUGCAAAAAACUCUAACCUCUUCUUUCAUUAGGAGGGGAAAGAGUGUAUUUAUUAGGUACAAAACCAAUCAGCCCAAAAGGCUGUUUGAUGAUGAUUCAUAAUAACUUAGCAAAUCGCAGGCCAAUGCUUGUGAUGAUACAAACGAGUUUCUGACCUAUCAACUUUAGAUGGCAGAGUAGGGGUUUGCCAUGGUGACAACGGGUGACGGGGAAUUAGGGUUCGAUUCCGGAGAGGGAGCCUGAGAAACGGCUACCACUUCCAAGGAAGGCAGCAGGCGCGCAUAUUACCCAAUACUAAUUCAGUGAGGUAGUGACAAGAAAUACCAAUGUGCGACCCUACGGGUAGCACGUUUGGAAUGAGUACAAUUUAAAAACCUUAACGAGGACAAUUGGAGGGCAAGUCUGGU
rnacentral:rRNA from 1 species